rnacentral:rRNA from 1 species
AUUGAACGCUGGCGGCAGGCCUAACACAUGCAAGUCGAGCGGGGUUUUCGGACCUAGCGGCGGACGGGUGAGUAAUGCCUAGGAAUCUGCCUGGUAGUGGGGGACAACGUUUCGAAAGGAACGCUAAUACCGCAUACGUCCUACGGGAGAGAGCAGGGGACCUUCGGGCCUUGCGCUAUCAGAUGAGCCUAGGUCGGAUUAGCUAGUUGGUGAGGUAAUGGCUCACCAAGGCGACGAUCCGUAACUGGUCUGAGAGGAUGAUCAGUCACACUGGAACUGAGACACGGUCCAGACGCCUACGGGAGGCAGCAGUGGGGAAUAUUGGACAAUGGGCGAAAGCCUGAUCCAGCCAUGCCGCGUGUGUGAAGAAGGUCUUCGGAUUGUAAAGCACUUUAAGUUGGGAGGAAGGGUUGUAGAUUAACACUCUGCAAUUUUGACGUUACCGACAGAAUAAGCACCGGCUAACUCUGUGCCAGCAGCCGCGGUAAAAC